CAGGUAACAUCAAAUCGUACCCCAAACCGACACAGGUGGUCAGGUAGAGAAUACCAAGGCGCUUGAGAGAACUCGGGUGAAGGAACUAGGCAAAAUGGUGCCGUAACUUCGGGAGAAGGCACGCUGAUAUGUAGGUGAAGCGGUUUACCCGUGGAGCUGAAAUCAGUCGAAGAUACCAGCUGGCUGCAACUGUUUAUUAAAAACACAGCACUGUGCAAACACGAAAGUGGACGUAUACGGUGUGACGCCUGCCCGGUGCCGGAAGGUUAAUUGAUGGGGUCAGCGCAAG
rnacentral:rRNA from 1 species